UCUUCUUGGAAUUAAUGGCUAUCUGAGUCAUGGCUACUAUUAUCAUGUUUUCCGACGUGUGGCUUGUUACCUUCAUCCAGGAUUUUUAUAGCCUCUUCACUCAGACGUUUCACACGUCCCCAUGUGAUGGGAGAGGCUGUCAGGGUUUGAAGUGGUGGGCAAGGUUGGCUGUUUUGGGAGUAUUGAUGGGGGUGUUUCUUUGGUCUUCAAUAUUUUGUCUUCAUAUUCAGAGGACAGUCUAUCCUCAGCAAGGGCAUCUCCGGGAUGGGGCUGGGGUUUGCCUUUGGCCAGCUCAUGGAAAGGUUUCACUAGACAUGAUGGUAACCACAAUGCAC